AGGGCUGUAUCCUCCAACAAUUCUGAAAUACUUGCAGGACCUGGAAGGCGUCAUGUUCUUUCAGGCCUACAUUCAUGUGUGUGUGUGUGUGUGUGUGUUGGGGUGGGUGGAGGGAAGUGUUGUUUUGGAAUGUCAGUCUUCUUUUCUUCCUCAUUUAUUUUUUCUCCUUACUCAUCCAUCAAACUUUUAUUCGCUAUUAAAAACAUUGCUAAUGUCAUCUUCUCUUUUAAGUCUUAAGUGAAUUCCCAACAUGACACAGAUGACUUUCCUUUUCUCUCCCACACCACCUUGUGUAAACCAUUUGUCACAUUUUAUUAAAGCUGACUGUGUGCUUUUCUGCUCUCACUAAACUGUGAGUUCCUUGUGAGAGAACCUUGAUUUAUUUUUCUUCUCUCCUCUCUCUAAAGUUCCUGCAGUAGUAUCUAGAACUCAAUAAAUUGAUAACAGAUGAUAGGAUAUCACACAAAUAUGAACAGAAUUAGUAUGUCAUUUCAGAAGAAAAGUACCAGAGACAUUCUUGGACAAGACAAUUUUCUUGCCCUCUUCUUAUGGUGAUAGUGGAGGGAAAAUAUUGUUCUUUGGAAAUCUGAAUGAUAUAUUGGGUGGCAUGAUUGAGAACUUUUUUGUGGCUUUGGGGGAGGAGCAAGAGAUGUGUAAUUUUUUCCUUCAGAGCUGUGGGAGAAACAGAUCUUAACUUCAGUAGAGGUGAGAGGCACUGUCCUGGGAGACUUGGUUGUUGUAGGCUAACUGUCUCAUACCUAAAGAGAAAAAGGGAUUAAAAUACAACAAUAGUAGACUCUUAAAUUUUUUGAUGUAAUAAAUGCAUGAAUAUGAAUAUACAAGCAUACGUCUGGUAAUUCCUAACUGGACAGAAACCCUGUUAUCAUCAGUACAUUUCUGCUUUCACACUGAUCUGUAUUGAUCGUAGAUUUCAAGAGGGUACCUGAUUUGACCCUAAGCAUCCUAUAUUAUUGCUAAAUUCUAUGAAAAUGACUUUUUGGUUCUAAGGAUCCUUAUAGUCAGGCUGAGUCCCCUAAACACCAUUCCACAUUUCAAGUCACCAAAGGAAAGAUAAUAUUGUAAAUGGUCACAACUGAAGAGUCAUAUGGAGAAAAAUAAGUUUGAUUCCCAUCUCACACUAUGACAAAAUAGAGGUAAGAUGAAUUAAAGAUUUUAAAGGAAAAUAACAAAUCGUGAAAGUAUUAUAAGAAAAUAUAAGAUACAUGAAAAAUAUAAACAUAUAGGGUAAGACUCAAGUAUGACACAUAAAUUAGAAGCCAUAAAAAGACUAAAAUAUGUAACAUAAUACAAAUAUUCUAAAUUCUGCAUUAAAAAACAAGAAACCACAAAGUCAAGAGAUAAAUCAAAAUCUGAGACAAAAUAGUUGUAGCUAAUUUUUUAAGUUUAUAGGUUUCAUUUUAAUAACAGCAAUGUAAUGAAAAAAUAAGCAAAGGAUAAAAACAGUUAAUAGAAAAAGAAGUACAUGUCAUUCUUUUUUUUUUUUUUUUUUUUUUGUCUUUUUGCCAUUUCUUGGGCCACUCCCACGGCAUAUGGAGAUUUCCAGGCUAGGGGUCCAGUCGGAGCUGUAGCCACUGGCCUACGCCAGAGCCACAGCAACAUGGGAUCCAAGCCGCAUCUGCAAACUACACCACAGCUCACGGCAACGCCGGAUCCUUAACCCACUGAUCAAGGCCAGGGAUCGAACCCACAACCUCAUGGUUCCUAGUCAGAUUCGUUAACCACUGCGCCACGACUGGAACUCCAUAAGUAAUUCUUAAAUAUGGAAAGAUUAGUAACCUCACUCAAAAUAAAAGAAAUACUAUUAAAAUCAUGAUCAGAUAACAUUUUUCACCUAUCAGACUAGAAAAAAGAAUGAUGAGGGUGUGGGAAAAUAGAGAACCUCAUACAUUGUUAAUGGAAGUAUAAAUUGGUAAAUCUCUACAGAGUACAAAUUGGCAAUAUCUAUUAAAAUUAAAGAUAAUCGUAUAUACCUGAUAUAUGUGUACACACAUGCUAUACAAAUAUUUAUUUACUUAGCAUACUUUCAGCUGUAAAUAACAGAAACCCAAUUCAAAUAUGACUUAAGCAGUAGAAAAAUGAAUAAUCUCAUAUAACUGUAAGUCCCAAUGUAAGGCAGUUCUAGGUAUAGUAAGAUUAGUAGCUCAGUAAUAUUGGUGAAGAUUUAGAUUCUUUCUGCCUUUCCCUCUGAUCCCUAUGGUGUUUACUGGGCCCUUAGGUUGUCUUUAAAUUUUAAUAUGCUAUUAUUAUCUAUGAUAAUCAAUAUAACCAUUCCGUAUUGUUGGAUAUAUUAUUUCCAAUUUUAAAAAACAGUAAUAACAUUGUGAUUUUACGUAAAUAUUUGCAUCUUUGUUUUCUUUGGAUAAAACGUUAGAAGUAAAACCACUGCAUAGAACCUUUCAGGAUCUCAUUAAAUACUGGAAGACAAUGGCUCAGAGCAUUUCUAUAGGCAAUGUAUAGAGUGUUCAUUGCUAAUCAAUGUACUAAUAACAGUAGAUAAUAACAAAAAUUGAGUGCAUUUGUAAAUUAAAGGAUAAUCUAUAGUUUUAAUUUACAAUUUUAUUAUUAGAAUGAGCACUUAUUAAAAAUAAAAUUAAAAAGUUACAUUUAUUAAAAAGUAACAUUUUUAUUUAUUAAAAAGUUUAUUUAAAAUGUCACAUUUUUCUAAGGGGUAUUUUUCAGAUCAGAAUUUAAAAAAGGUAGUAUUUAGCAAAAUUUUAAGUUCAAGGAUCUAGGGUUCAGGUAUGAAAUGCAGAGAGUUAGUACAUACAUUCAGGUAGCCAGAACUUAUGCCUAUAUCUUCUCACAUAAAGAUCUCAUGAAUUUAUGAUAGAAAUUGGGAAGAGGGAAGCUUCAGACAGUGGUCUUUUUUGGUGUCCUACUUCAGAGGCUGAACUGGAAAUAAGGAAAAGAGAUGUUAUUGUCCUCCUGUUUGGAGUCUUGGGGGCGUGGAUAUUGUUCAUCAUUUUCUGGGCGAGGUCCGUGGAGAUGACAAGCAUUGUAGGAGCAGUUUGCAUUGACAUCACAGUGCCUCUAUAAAGCAGAAAUGCUGACAUAGCACAAGAGGGCUUGAGAUAAAAACUGUGGUCAGUUCUGCACAAUUAGAAAAUAGGAGUUCUCUUAUGGCACAGUAGGUUAAGUAUCUGGUGUUGUCACUGUAGCAGCUUGGGUGGUUCCUGUGGCAGGGGUUUGAUCCCUGGCCUGGGAACUUCCACAUGAUGUGGGAAAAAAAAAAAAAGACAAAUAAAAAAGAAAAAUUAUAUUUUUCACAUCUGAACUAAUAGCUGAAAAACUGUACUUCUACAUUUGUAUUUGUAUCUCUCCCAUAUCACGUAUGCCCCGUCUUAGAUACUUAGUCACAAACAUCUCUGAACCUCAGCUUCUUCAUUCUAAAAAUGGAAAUACUAAUACCUAUCUAAUGUACUUUUCCCUCCUAAGUAAAUGCUCAUGCUUCCUGUCCGAGACUUUAUUGGGUAGUUUAUUUCUUCCAAGGUGAAUAGGAUAUAGGAGGCCCAAGCACACUAACCCGGGAAUGUACCUGGCUUACACAGAUAGAAGCCAAAAUCCAACCUUUGGUACAGAUUCUACCCUGAAAUGACACUGCUCUCUUUGGCCAGUACCAGAAUUCUUUAGUCAGACAUCUGGUCACGCAAAGUGAGACUGACCCUUCAUAGUCUACUCACCUCUAUCAGCAAAUGAAAGAGUUUCUGGCACUACAGUUGCAGGGCUACUCUCCCAUGAAAGUCCCAUUUGGUGCAAGUUACUUCAGUCAUAGGGAUGCAUCCUGGCCUGUGUGUAGAUGGUAAUCCAGCUAGCUUCCUAUCAGUCUUAUGCAACUUCCUUGGAAUUUUGUAUGACUCUGGAGCUGUAAGAAACUUAAAUUCACAAAUUCAUAAGACAUGGGUCCUGAUAGAUUCUAGACUUUGGGACAAAUUUACUUGCUUCCAGGGAACAUCCUCAAGUAGGAAGAAAUACUCUCAUUUGUUCGUUUUUGCUGUAAUUUCUAUCCCAUGGCACCUGGACUGGUUCAGAGCCCAAGAUGUCUGAGUUUCCUCAGUAGAAUCCUUUACUUAUGGGGCAGGCAGCCACAUAACUCAUGCAAUUUCUUGAGUUGCUGAGAAGUAUGCAGCUUUUCAGGAAGAUAUUCUUGGAGCUCAAGCCAAGCAUUUGCCUCAAUGACUGCCUGAUUGUUUCCAUUUAACAACUUGGGUUUUCUCCCACAGUCACAUCAGUGUGCUCAGUAAAUUGCUGUUUUAUGCUUCAUUUUCACUUUCAGAAUUCUAUCUCAGCAUUAUGGGGAUCUGAUGUCAUGAUGUAGGCAAACGUUCCUGUAUUGACAUGUUUUGUUUUUGGCUAGUGGAGAGGUAAUGCCAAAAUUCUGAGUUCCAUGGGAAUAGAGCCAAGAGACGCUUGGCUUCUUAGUCAGAGUUAGUGUCCGUGGGAGCGGAUCUGGGAAAGUCUUGUGGAGGAUCCAUGGCCAAAACCGCAUAAUCAGAUUUUGUUCUGAAUGGGGUCCUUCAUAAGAUGUUAGAAAAAAAGAACAUAACAUUAUAGGAAAAAAGUUUUCUUAAUAGAAUAAUCUCGGCUAGGAGAACAAAUUAAAUAUGUGAUUUAUUAGGUUAAUCUCUUUAUAUUUUUGUUUUAAAGCUUACCUUUAAGAUUAACUGAAUCAAAUUUAUCUAUUGCCUUUCUCAGGGAAUCUCUCCAAUAGAUCUCCUUAAGAUGAGAGUCUGGGAAUAUGUUUUAGAUCUCUAUAAAUUAAUUCCAGUGAAUGGUGUUUUGGCCAUAGUGCAUACAUAGGACUAAUAAAAGAAAAUUUUAUUAAAGUCAGUUUUCUAACAAAGUAAAUAUAUGUGUGUGUUUAAUAGUCACCUUUAUUAUAGAGCAAAAAUAAUAGCAUUAUAUGGUUAAAAAAAAAACCCUUCUCUUUCAGUAAUCCAAAACUGGAAUCGGAGAAAACUAAAUGUAUAUAUGUCUUUUUUUCUACUAUUAUUACACAUACAUUUUAUAUUUAUUCAUUUAUUUAUUUUAUUCUUAUUAUUUUUUUGUCUUUUUGCCAUUUCCUGGGCCGCUCCUGCGGCAUAUGGAGGUUUCCAGGCUAGGGGUCAAAUCGGAGCUGCAGCCGCCGGCCUACACCAGAGCCACAGCAACGCGGGACUGAGCCGCGUCUGCAACCUACACCACAGCUCAUGGCAACGCCAGAUCCUUAACCCACUGAGCAAGGCCAGGGAUCCAACCUGCAACUUCAUGGUUCCUAUUCAGACUCGUUAACCACUGAGCCAUGACAGGAACUCCUAUUUUUAUUUUUUUAAUCUUAUAAUGAUUUUUAUUUUGUCCAUUAUAGCUGAUUUACAGUGUUCUGUCAAUUUGCUACUGUACAGCAAGAUGACCCAGUCACCCAUACAUGUAUACAUUCUUUUUUCUCCCAUUAUUAUGUUCCAUCAUAAGUGACUAGAUAUAGUUCCCAGUGCUAUACAGCAGGAUCUCAUUGCUUAUCCAUUCCAAAGACAAUAGUUCGCAUCUAUUAACCCCAAAUUCCUAGUCCAUCCUGCUCCCUCCCCCUCCCCCUUGGCAACCACAAGUCUGUUCUCCAUGUCCAUGAUUUUCUUUUCUGUGGAAAGGUUCAUUUGUGCCGUAUAUUAGAUUCCAGAUAUAAGAGAUAUCAUAUAGUAUUUGUCUUUCUCUUUCUGGCUUACUUCACUUAGUAUGAGAGUCUCUAGUUCCAUCCAUGUUGCUGCAGAUAGCAUUAUUUUAUACUUGACAGAUAAAAUAGGCAGCAUAAAAUAAAAUCAAGGAGUUCCCAUUGUGACUCAGUGGAAAUGAAUCUGACUAGUAUCCAUUAGGACUCAAGUUUGACCCCUGGUCUCGCUCAGCAGGUUACGGGGCUGGUGUUGCCGUGAGCUAUGGUCUAGGUCACAAACGUGGCUGGGAUCCUGCCCCGCUGUGGCUGUGGCAUAGGCCAGCAGCUACAGCUCCAAUUUGAUCCCUAGCCUGG
rnacentral:lncRNA from 1 species